rnacentral:rRNA from 1 species
GACGAACGCUGGCGGCGUGCCUAAUACAUGCAAGUUGAGCGCUGAAGGUUGGUACUUGUACCAACUGGAUGAGCAGCGAACGGGUGAGUAACGCGUGGGGAAUCUGCCUUUGAGCGGGGGACAACAUUUGGAAACGAAUGCUAAUACCGCAUAAAAACUUUAAACACAAGUUUUAAGUUUGAAAGAUGCAAUUGCAUCACUCAAAGAUGAUCCCGCGUUGUAUUAGCUAGUUGGUGAGGUAAAGGCUCACCAAGGCGAUGAUACAUAGCCGACCUGAGAGGGUGAUCGGCCACAUUGGGACUGAGACACGGCCCAAACUCCUACGGGAGGCAGCAGUAGGGAAUCUUCGGCAAUGGACGAAAGUCUGACCGAGCAACGCCGCAUGAGUGAAGAAGGUUUUCGGAUCGUAAAACUCUGUUGGUAGAGAAGAACGUUGGUGAGAGUGGAAAGCUCAUCAAGUGACGGUAACUACCCAGAAAGGUACGGCUAACUACGUG